UUUCGAUCUAGCCUUCAAAUAUGCCGAACAGUUGGCAAAGGACCUUGAGCUAUUCUCACAGCAUGCUGGUCGUAAAUCUGUAAACAUGGAAGAUGUCAUACUUUGUGCUCAUCGGAACAGUCAACUGGCUGCGUCAUUAAGAUCUUUCUGCAAUGAUCUAAAAGCAAAAGAACCUCCAUCGGAAAGGAAGAGGAGAAGAAAUGCAAAAAAGGAAGAUAAAGGUGCUGCUGACGCACUCUAUAUCCCAGAUCAGUAAUCGAGACUUGAAUUUUCGUCCGCAGAUUAUUGUAUAGUUUUUCUCACAUAUUCCAUCUUGGUCCUCUAUGAUUUUAGAUGUAUUACCUUCAGUGACUAGGAACAACAAAAAAAACUAUAACUGAUUAAGA